rnacentral:rRNA from 1 species
GUGGGGAAUUUUGGACAAUGGGCGCAAGCCUGAUCCAGCGACGCCGCGUGGAGGACGAAGGCCUUCGGGUUGUAAACUCCUUUUGGAGGGGAAGAAUAAAUUGACGGUACCCUCAGAAAAAGCCACGGCUAACUACGUGCCAGCAGCCGCGGUAAUACGUAGGUGGCGAGCGUUACUCGGAAUUACUAGGCGUAAAGCGUAUGUAGGUGGUUAGAUAAGUCUAUGGUGAAAUUUCCUGGCUUAACUGGGAAGGGACAUAGCUACUAUCUGGCUUGAGUGUGGGAGGGGGAGACGGAAUUUCUGGUGUAGCGGUGAAAUGCGUAGAUAUCAGGAGGAACACCGAUGGCGAAAGCAGUCUCCUGGCCCAAUACUGACACUGAGGUACGAAAGCUAGGGUAGCAAACAGGAUUAGAAACCCCGGUAGUCC